ACACACACACACACACACACACACACACACACACUCCUAUCUAAUGCACUUAUGUAAAAGAAUUACAAAUUUCUUAAAACAAAUAUACUACGUACAUGUAAUAAUAUUAAAAAUUGCACAUAAAAACUACUAUAUUACAAAAGGUAUGAUUCAUAAAUCAAAAAGAAUUUAACGUUCUACCUAAUAUAUAACCUCCAUACCCUC
rnacentral:lncRNA from 1 species